UGAAACAAGUAUAGUUUGAAU
ensembl:piRNA 21ur-3075 ncRNA